rnacentral:rRNA from 1 species
UACAGAGGUCUCAAGCGUUGUUCGGAUUCAUUGGGCGUAAAGGGUGCGUAGGUGGCCAGGUAAGUUUGGUGUGAAAGCUCGGAGCUUAACUCCGAAAAGUCAUUGAAUACUAUCUGGCUGGAGGGUCGGAGGGGAGACUGGAAUUCUCGGUGUAGCAGUGAAAUGCGUAGAUAUCGGGAGGAACACCAGUGGCAAAGGGCGACUACCUGGCCUGUUCUUGACGCUGAGGCGCGAAAGCUAGGGGAGCAAACGGG